GCUGUAGCUUCGAUUUCUCUUCUUCCGGCGUCAAUUUUUGGUGUUGAUUCCGGCCAGUUACUGCUUCUUCUUGGUCGAUUUCCAGAGAUUAACCAUGAUUAAUGCUAUCAAGGCUGCGAUCGGCGAUGCCGUUCUCACUUCCAUGUGGAUUUUCUGUGCUUCGUCUCUUGGGGUUCUCACUUCCGUCCUGUCCUCGGCAGCCGGUGUUUAUGGCCUUACGCUUCACCCGCUUCUUAUCGUUACUACUCUUGUCUUCCUCCUUGUUUUCAUUUUUAAUAUAAUUGGUGCUGCUUUGGGUGGGGCUAGCUUUAAUCCCACUGGUACUGCUGCUUUCUAUGCUGCCG
rnacentral:misc_RNA from 1 species